UGCCUCAGUAGCGGCGAGUGAGCGGCAAAAGCUCAAAUUUGAAAUCUGGCGUCUUUGGCGUCCGAGUUGUAAUUUGAAGAAGGUAUCUUUGGGCCCGGCUCUUGUCUAUGUUCCUUGGAACAGGACGUCACAGAGGGUGAGAAUCCCGUGCGAUGAGAUGACCCGGGUCUGUGUAAAGUUCCUUCGACGAGUCGAGUUGUUUGGGAAUGCAGCUCUAAGUGGGUGGUAAAUUCCAUCUAAAGCUAAAUAUUGGCGAGAGACCGAUAGCGAACAAGUACAGUGAUGGAAAGAUGAAAAGAACUUUGAAAAGAGAGUGAAAAAGUACGUGAAAUUGUUGAAAGGGAAGGGCUUGAGAUCAGACUUGGUAUUUUGCAUGUUGCUCUCUCGGGGGCGGCCGCUGCGGUUUACCGGGCCAGCAUCGGUUUGGAGCGGCAGGAUAAUGGCGGAGGAAUGUGGCACGGCUUCUGCUGUGUGUUAUAGCCUCUGACGAUACUGCCAGCCUAGACCGAGGACUGCGGUUUUUACCUAGGAUGUUGGCAUAAUGAUCUUAAGUCG
rnacentral:rRNA from 1 species